rnacentral:rRNA from 1 species
UACGAAGGGGGCUAGCGUUGCUCGGAAUCACUGGGCGUAAAGGGCGCGUAGGCGGCCGGCCAAGUCGGGGGUGAAAGCCUGUGGCUCAACCACAGAAUGGCCCUCGAUACUGGACGGCUCGAGACCGGAAGAGGUUGGUGGAAUUGCGAGUGUAGAGGUGAAAUUCGUAGAUAUUCGCAAGAACACCGGUGGCGAAGGCGGCCAACUGGUCCGGAUCUGACGCUGAGGCGCGAAAGCUAGGGGAGCAAACGGG